rnacentral:misc_RNA from 1 species
UCUCCGUUGGUGAACCAGCGGAGGGAUCAUUACCGAGUUUACAACUCCCAAACCCCUGUGAACUUAUACCUUUACUGUUGCUUAGGCGGGUCAUUGCCCCGGGGAAACAGGCGGCCGUCAGGUCCCUGCCCACCCGGAAACAGGCGCCCGCCGGGGGACUCAAACUCUUCUGUAUUUUUUUGUUUACUGUAUACUGUCUGAGUAAAAAUUCAUAAUGAAUCAAAACUUUCAACAACGGAUCUCUUGGUUCUG